GUUGUGACUCAGAUGAAGAUCACAGUUUAUGACCAAUUUCUGCAGAAAUCCAUGUAAUUCCAAAGGGUUCACAUACUUUUUCUUGCCACUGUACUUUCUUGAACACAUUUUGCACAUUGUACUUUCUUGAACACAUUUUGCCACAGUGCAGAGAGAAACAUUUGCAAUUUAUAACGCUAUUCUACACAUUUUGUCAGUUUUAAAGCUAACUUCCUGAAAUUCUACACUUUUUGUCAUGAAGCAGAUAUUUAUUUUGGUGUUUAUUAGCUCAUCAUGCUUGUGUUCACAUUUUGCCAUGAGGCUGAGACAAAGUGUUGCAGUGUUAAAACUCAUUUCCUGCUAUGCAACACAUUUUGCUAUCAUAUGCUUUAUGGGACCGUUCAGUAGUUCGGCCCUGCACCUAACCUGCUACCAAAAUCACUUCUUAUUGAAUUGAUGUGAAAAGAGAGUCCACAGGUACCACAGGAGAGAGCCAGCGACCUGCAGCGCCUGAGAGGCAAGGUGGAAAUUGGCGCCAUCUUCGACGGUCAAGUCUAGCUGUAUACCUUCUAGACAAAACCCUCUUUGACCUGCACAAGGUCUUCUGGGAGAAGGAGACCCAGGAGCUGAGGGUGUACUUUACCUGUUAGCUUGAGGGGGAUCAUCUCUUGCAAGAUAAAGGGAGUAAUCUAUCUCAUCACAUGUAACAUGGAGAUCCUACUACUACAGAGGGAGGCCUACUGGAUUUCCUAUUUAAAAACAUUGACCCCUAGUGGUCUGAAUACUGACUUUGAUCUCUGGCCCUUUUUAUGAACAAUUAUUUUUAUGAACAAGUCUGAUAAAUGGAUCUAUUCUUUCUACAUCUUAUCAGCGUAGAACCAAUAUGUUCCCCCUGUUGAUGAUGCUUAUUAUGCAUUAUGGAUGAACCACAAGAUUACAUGUAGCAACAUUUUAAAUAUAUUAAAUAUAUGUGAAAUUAUAUAUGUGAUGUUAAUCUUAUACUAAUGUUAAUGAUAACAAUAGCCUAAUAUAGUCAAUAUGCUGUAAACUAUCAUUUUAACAGUUUCACUCAAUUCAUUCUAAUUAACCUCAUAAUUAUGACACACCCCUCACUAUUGUCAUUGUUGCACUAAUUACACUGUUUGUCUGCAUAACCUGGUUUAAGCAUUCAUGUCUUUACCCUGAAGAAGGAACAGUGAUGCCGAAACGUUGGUGUUUUCCUUAAUAAAUUACUGGGAGUUUUUAUAUAUAUAUAGAUUGUGCAACUCUCUUUGUUUUUAUAGCUUACAGUGUAUUCACCGUUAGUCAGCACCUCUACAAUAAUUCAUUUUCUCUGGGUGUGCUCCACAUAAUGCUUUUUAUAUCACCUGAACAUAACAAAUAAAUAAAUAAACAUGUGAAGAUAUUAAAGUCAGUGACAUGAAACAGUA